GUAACUUUUAAAAUUUUCUUUUUUAGCUCGGGAGUGUUGAUGUAGAAGACAGAAAAGAAGGCAACACUGGAGGAGAUAAGUAGCUCUGGACACAAUGGAAAAGCACAUUACUAAAUAGUAAUUGUUGAGCAGAGGGAAAAGGGAUAGGAGAAAGAUGUGGACUGUAUGUGGUGCCAGCUAAUAAUUCGGUUUCAUCAUGUCACUUCCUGGCUCAGGUGCAGUCUCCUCUAUCCUCUUCCCUUUUUGUACCACCUUACUUAACAUUUAAUUAUAUUCUUUCCUUACUCAAUUUGUCUGAUUAUGUGAUCUGUCUUAAAGUUUUAAUCCUGGUUUUGCAUUUAAUUAUCAGUGGUCCUUUACUUUUUAGAGGCUUAAGAAUGGCAGCUAUCCCCUUGUGAUCUAGCUUUUGGAAUCAUUGAGGUUAAGAGAUUUCUAUCUGUAAUUCUGUAGGAAUGGUUCCAGAAUUUAAUCCUAGAUUUGCUUUUUUUGAGAAUUUGCCACCAAAACAUAGGAACAUGGUUAGAGAGGCCCCUGUCCCCUGGUAGUUCUAACUUAAAUUUCUUGAGCAAUUCAUAUUUGUUAGUGUACUUUCUUUCCCAUCAACUUAUUUGUUUCUUACAGCACCCCAGUACUUCCUAGGAGGGACCCCAAUCUUUUUCUUUACCUCUUUUCUCUCUCGCACAUGUAUUCCUAGGCCAGUCUUUGCUUUUAUUAUUUUAGGUUUUCUAAAUUUAAAAUCCUCUAAUGAAAUUGAAUCUCUCCUGCCUUGUUUAUAGGGUGACAUUAAAAAAAAACAACAGAGUCCCAUUCUAAUCUAACAUUAUCUUUCCAUAAUUUUAGGAACAACCAUGAUAGCUUAGUUCAUUAGUGAUGUUUCCUUUUGAACUAUGGGUUUCUACUUUUAUUCUUGCAUUUCUGAUACCUUCUUGGAAAAUCAUUAACAUCUUGAGGAUGUGCGCUUCCUCUGAAUUCUUACAGUAGUCACAACUGUUGGGUCAGUUAUAACCUAGUCAUAAAGUCCUAAUGGAAGUGUGUGUGUGUGUGUGUGUGUGUGUGUGUGUGUGUGUUUAUGUGUUUAUAUUUACUGGAAGAAAAGUUUCUGCCAAGGAGCUGUAAGAGUCAAGUCAAGUUGUUCUACAUUUCCCUAUCUUGUUAAUGGAGUGGAUUGGGCCAAAUGACAUUGAUAUGCCUUUCUCAUUCUGAGGAUCUAUGAUAAUUUGACCUUCUUUAGGGUAGAUGAAAUUGGAGAUCUUACUGUGUUCUUGGAUGAAAAUAUCAAUACAAGCAUUUAGUACCUUCAGGACCUGUUCAGUCCCACAGAUUUCUAUUUUCAAUUGGCAUAUACCUUUUCUGAGAAGCUUUUCAAUCACAAGAAUUCAGAAAAGAUUACUGGGGGAUAGAUUAUAUACCAGAUGAUAUGUAUUGGGGACAAAAAUGCAUUAUCCUUAGGAUUGACUUCCUAUGAUAGAAAAAAUAGAUUCAUUUACUGUAUAAACUUAGUCUUGAGAAUUUAUAAUUUGCACUUAUUUCUUAGUAUUCAUGGUGGAUAGGUUCCAGGAUCCACUUUCCUACAGAUACCAAAAUAUGUGAAUAUUCAAGUUGUUUAUAUAAAAUGGUGUAGUAGUAUUUGCAUUUAACCUACCUACAUCAUCCUGGAUACUUUAAAUCAUCUCUAGGUUACUUGUAAUACUUACUGCAAUGUAAAUAGUUAUUUUACUGUAUUGUUUAGGUAAUAAUGACAUACAAAUGCUACAUAUGUUCAAUAACAAUUUUUACAUACAUAUUUUAAAUCCACCUUUAGUUGAAUCUCAAUAUAAAAG
rnacentral:lncRNA from 1 species